CUUCCGACCUGACACUCUCGGAGAUGAAGGAACACUUGAAAGAUUUCUUAAAGCUGCAAAAAUCUGAUGACUGCAACGCCAAACAUUGCCUCCAAAAGCACAAGGACGUGAAGCCACACAUUUGGGCGCAGACAGUGGAUUGGUUGGUUGAGGUACACGCCAAACAGGCUGCCAGGAGGAAGUCUUCUUCCAGGCUGUUGCUAUCAUGGAUAGGUUCUAUGCCGAGUCCUUCACGUAACUUUCCUAUACUCAUGUGGAUUAGUCCGAUAGAGGCUACAGAAGUGAGACCGAUAGCGCACAAGUA
rnacentral:rRNA from 1 species